GCAAGUCGAACGGCAGCGCGAGGAGCUUGCUCCUUGGCGGCGAGUGGCGGACGGGUGAGUAACGCGUAGGAAUCUACCUUAUAGUGGGGGAUAACUCGAGGAAACUCGAGGUAAUACCGCAUAAUCUCUACGGAGCAAAGCGGGGGAUCUUCGGACCUCGUGCUAUUAGAUGAGCCUGCGUCGGAUUAGCUUGUUGGUGGGGUAAAGGCCUACCAAGGCAACGAUCCGUAGCUGGUCUGAGAGGACGAUC
rnacentral:rRNA from 1 species